UACGUAGGGUGCAAGCGUUGUCCGGAAUUAUUGGGCGUAAAGAGCUCGUAGGCGGUCUGUCGCGUCUGCUGUGAAAACUCAGGGCUUAACCCUGAGCUUGCAGUGGGUACGGGCAGACUAGAGUGCGGGUAGGGGAGACUGGAAUUCCUGGGUGUAGCGGUGAAUGCGCAGAUAUCAGGAGGAACACCGAUGGCGAAGGCAGGUCUCUGGGCCACUACUGACGCUGGAGAAGCGAA
rnacentral:rRNA from 1 species